rnacentral:ncRNA from 2 species
GGUUUCCUUCGGGGAUAGGUGUAAUUCCUUACCGGCGGUCUAGCCCGCGAGCCACGUGAGUGGUUGACCCGGUUUAAUUCCGGGGCCGACAGUAAAAGUCUGGAUGGGAGAAGGAAGGU